CCUACGGGAGGCAGCAGUGGGGAAUAUUGCACAAUGGGGGAAACCCUGAUGCAGCGACGCCGCGUGAGUGAAGACGUAUUUCGGUACGUAAAGCUCUAUCAGCAGGGAAGAAAAUGACGGUACCUGACUCAUAAGCCCCGGCGAAAUACGUGCCAGCAGCCGCGGUCAUACGUCGGGGGCAAGAGUUUUCCGGAUUUACUGGGUGUAAAGGGAGCGUAGACGGCAGCGCAAGUCUGGAGUGAAAGCCCAGGGCUUAACCGUGGAACUGCGGUGGAAACUGUGCAGCUUGAGUGCAGGAGAGGUAAGCGGAAUUCCUGGUGUAGCGGUGAAAUGCUUAGAUAUCACGAAGAACACCGGUGGCGAAGGCAGCUUACUGGACUGUAACUGACGUUGAGGCUCGAAAGCGUGGGUAGCAAACAGGAUUAGAUACCCCGGUAGUC
rnacentral:rRNA from 1 species